rnacentral:rRNA from 1 species
AAGAGAGCUUGCUCUCUGAUUCAGCGGCGGACGGGUGAGUAAUGCCUAGGAAUCUGCCUGGUAGUGGGGGACAACGUUUCGAAAGGAACGCUAAUACCGCAUACGUCCUACGGGAGAAAGCAGGGGACCUUCGGGCCUUGCGCUAUCAGAUGAGCCUAGGUCGGAUUAGCUAGUUGGUGAGGUAAAGGCUCACCAAGGCGACGAUCCGUAACUGGUCUGAGAGGAUGAUCAGUCACACUGGAACUGAGACACGGUCCAGACUCCUACGGGAGGCAGCAGUGGGGAAUAUUGGACAAUGGGCGAAAGCCUGAUCCAGCCAUGCCGCGUGUGUGAAGAAGGUCUUCGGAUUGUAAAGCACUUUAAGUUGGGAGGAAGGGCAGUAAGCUAAUACCUUGCUGUUUUGACGUUACCGACAGAAUAAGCACCGGCUAACUUCGUGCCAGCAGCCGCGGUAAUACGAAGGGUGCAAGCGUUAAUCGGAAUUACUGGGCGUAAAGCGCGCGUAGGUGGUUCGUUAAGUUGGAUGUGAAAGCCCCGGGCUCAACCUGGGAACUGCAUCCAAAACUGGCGAGCUAGAGUAUGGCAGAGGGUGGUGGAAUUUCCUGUGUAGCGGUGAAAUGCGUAGAUAUAGGAAGGAACACCAGUGGCGAAGGCGACCACCUGGGCUAAUACUGACACUGA